UACAGAGACCUCAAGCGUUAUCCGGAAUCAUUGGGCGUAAAGCGUACCGAUAGGUGGUUAUGAAAGUCAGAAGUGAAAUCUCAAGGCUCAACUUUGAGACUGUCUUUUGAAACUUCAUGACUAGAGGGGCAAAGAGGAAGCUAGAACAAACGGUGUAGUAGUAAAAUGCGUUGAUAUCGUUUGGAAUACCAAUAGCGAAGGCAGGCUUCUGGGUGCCACCUGACACUGCUAGGACGAAAGCGUGGGGAGCGAAUGGG
rnacentral:rRNA from 1 species